CAAACCCAAGGUAUAGUCUUCUCUAUGCCCAAACCCAAGGUAUAGUCUUCUCUAUGCCCAAACCCAAGGUAUAGUUUUCUCCAUGCCCAAACCCAAGGUAUAGUCUUCUCUAUGCCCAAACCCAAGGUAUAGUCUUCUCCAUGCCCAAACCCAAGGUAUAGUCUUCUCUAUGCCCAAACCCAAGGUAUAGUCUUCUCCAUGCCCAAACCCAAGGUAUAGUCUUCUCUAUGCCCAAACCCAAUGUAUAGUCUUCUCUAUGCCAAAACCCAAGGUAUAGUCUUCUCUAUGCCCAAACCCAAGGCAUAGUCUUCUCUAUGCCCAAACCCAAGGUAUAGUCUUCUCUAUGCCCAAACCCAAGGUAUAGUCUUCUCUAUGCCCAAACCCAAGGUAUAGUCAGUCUUCUCUAUGCCCAAAUCCAAGGUAUAGUCUUCUCUAUGGCUAAACCCAAGGUAUAGUCUUCUCUAUGGCUAAACCCAAGGUGAAGUAUAGUCUUCUCUAUGGCUAAACCCAAGGUAAAGUAUAGUAUUCUCUAUGGCUAAACCCAAGGUAAAGUAAAGUCUUCUCUGUGGCUCAACCCAAGGUAAAGUAUAGUCGUCUCUAUGGCUAAACCCAAGGUAAAGUAUUGUCUUAUCUAUGGCUAAACCCAAAGUAAAGUAUAGUCUUCUCUAUGGCUAAACCCAAGGUAAAGUAUAGUCUUCUCUAUGGCUAAACCCAAGGUAAAGUAUAGUCUUCUCUAUGGCUAAACCCAAGGUAAAGUAUAGUAUUCUCUAUGGCUAAACCCAAGGUAAAGUAAAGUCUUCUCUGUGGCUAAACCCAAGGUAAAGUAUUGUCUUCUCUAUUGCUAAACCCAAGGUAAAGUAUUGUCUUCUCUAUUGCUAAACCCAAGGUAAAGUAUAGUCUUCUCUAUGGCUAAACCCAAGGUGAAGUAUAGUCUUCUCUAUGGCUAAACCCAAGGUAAAGUAUUGUCUUCUCUAUGGCUAAACCCAAGGUAAAGUAUAGUCUUCUCUAUGGCAAAACCCAAGGUAAAGUAUAGUCUUCUCUAUGGCUAAACCCAAGGUAAAGUAUUGUCUUCUCUAUUGCUAAACCCAAGGUAAAGUAUUGUCUUCUCUAUUGCUAAACCCAAGGUAAAGUAUUGUCUUCUCUAUGGCUAAACCCAAGGUAAAGUAUUGUCUUCUCUAUUGCUAAACCCAAGGUAAAGUAUUGUCUUCUCUAUGGCUAAACCCAAGGUAAAGUAUAGUCUUCUCUAUGGCUAAACCCAAGGUAAAGUAUUGUCUUCUCUAUGGCUAAACCCAAGGUAAAGUAUAGUCUUCUCUAUGGCAAAACCCAAGGUAAAGUAUAGUCUUCUCUAUGGCUAAACCCAAGGUAAAGUAUUGUCUUCUCUAUUGCUAAACCCAAGGUAAAGUAUUGUCUUCUCUAUUGCUAAACCCAAGGUAAAGUAUUGUCUUCUCUAUGGCUAAACCCAAGGUAAAGUAUAGUCUUCUCUAUGGCUAAACCCAAGGUAAAGUAUAGUCUUCUCUAUGGCUAAACCCAAGGUAAAGUAUUGUCUUCUCUAUUGCUAAACCCAAGGUAAAGUAUUGUCUUCUCUAUUGCUAAACCCAAGGUAAAGUAUUGUCUUCUCUAUGGCUAAACCCAAGGUAAAGUAUAGUCUUCUCUAUGGCUAAACCCAAGGUAAAGUAUAGUCUUCUCUGUGGCUAAACCCAAGGUAAAGUAUAGUCUUCUCUGUGGCUAAACCCAAGGUAAAGUAUAGUCUUCUCUGUGGCUAAACCCAAGGUAAAGUAUAGUCUUCUCUAUGGCUAAACCCAAGGUAAAGUAUAGUCUUCUCUAUGUCUAAACCCAAGGUAAAGUAUAGUCUUCUCUGUGGCUAAACCCAAGGUAAAGUAUAGUCUUCUCUAUGUCUAAACCCAAGGUAAGGCCAUAGAAAUGUUUAAAGUAGGUGGUCUUUACCUCUGGCCAAGUGCAAAUGGUCAGUGAAAACUAUUAGUGGAUAAUAAUCACCACGGACCACAACAGCUCUGCCAACUUUCAGUCAGCGCUCGGAUUAAGUUAAGGUCACACAGUUACUUUGGCUGGAUUUUCCAAAGACUGAAAAGUAAAGGGUGGGUGGUGGUGUUGAUGAAGGAUUUUACUGUACAGAUCAGGGAGCCAGGGUGACGAGUUAAGGGUGAGCUCCUGCUAUGUGGCUCUGUCCACCUGUCAGUUCAGUGUCGCUCUGAGAGCAUAUAGGAAGGUUAACCUCAUUUCAUUUUUUAUAUUUUUUAUACAUUUUCGGAAAUAAAUCUAAACCUGUUUUUGCUUUGUCAUUAUCGGGUAUUGUGCGUAGAUUGAUGAGGGAAAAAAACUUUUUAAUGAAUUUCAGAAUAAGGCUGUAAUGUAACAACAUAUGGAAGUAGUCAAGGGGUCUCAGUAGUUUCUGAAUGCACUGUGUAUAUAUAUAUAUAUAUAUAUGAAGGUUACCCUCUUCCUUGGGCUGAUGUAGAAAGCAGGUUGAUUCUCUAUUUUAUGUGUUCAGCCUCCGAGGAACCUAAGGGAGGGAUUUUUUUAAAAAGCAGAUAAGUUACCUGUGCACUGAAAUUGACUUUAAAAGAUGGUUUUGGCUUGAGCCGCCAGUCGUUAAUCUGUGUUGGAUUGAAUCCCGGUCGAAGCAUAGAGUCACAUUACUACUGUAGGACAUGCUAAUAAGGUCCCUCUGUAUUCAUGUCAGGCAGAUCACUAUCAAGUCAUUUCUAUGGUUUUCUCAUUGGCUUUAAACUGAACUUCUAAAUGUGAGCAAAUGGGCCUCCAGCUCCCUAGGAGCUAAUGAAAUACAAUAAUAUCAAAUGGUAAAACAAUUUCCCCCUCCCUACUCUGUGUCCUCUCUCGUCUCCUUCAUCCUCCUCUCUUCUUCCCGUCCCGUCCACUCUUCUCUCCCUCUUCUCCUCUCCUUCAUCCUCCUCUCCUCUCCCCGUCCCCUCCACUCUUCUCUCCCUCUUCUCGUCACCUUCAUCCUCCUCUCCUCUCCCCGUCCCCUCCACUCUUCUCUCCCUCUUCUCGUCACCUUCAUCCUCCUCUCCUCUCCCCGUCCCCUCCACUCUUCUCUCCCUCUUCUCCUCUCCUUCAUCCUCCUCUCCUCUCCCCGUCCCCUCCACUCUUCUCUCCCUCUUCUCCUCUCCUUCAUCCUCCUCUCCUCUCCCCGUCCCCUCCACUCUUCUCUCCCUCUUCUCGUCACCUUCAUCCUCCU